UGGAUUGAAUGCUUGCCAAAGGGGCCCCACAGCCCCUGGGAAGGUCUGAGAGAAAAGCCAUUACUCACUCGUGAUGAGUGUCUCACUAACAGUGAGAUUGAGUGAACAGAAACAGUGACCAGAGUAGCAAGCUUAUAAUGAGCAGAAGAUCCAAAGGAGAUGCUCUGAUUGCUAGCUCUCAUGGCUGAAAGACACUCAUGGCUAGCUACUGUAGUGCAAUGGGCAAGGUGCCUUCUUCAAGGCAUAACUCAAUUCAGACUACUCUCAAUCCA
rnacentral:RNase_P_RNA from 1 species